AAGUCGUAACAAGGUCUCCGUAGGUGAACCUGCGGAGGGAUCAUUAACACGUUUCCGAACGUUUAACUAUUUCAAAUCAACCGCGUGAUAUAAUUGAAUCAAAAACAACCGACCUGAGAGUCAGAGAAUCUGUUUAGAAUGCACGGAGUGAUGAGUGUGUAUGUGAGUUAAAUCGCAUGCACACGGUGUAUCUAAACUCGUAUCGCGUGUUUCAUUGUGUGUGCGCAAGCGUAUGCAGUGUUAUUGGACUUUACAAGACCUCUUUCUUUUAGGCUUUUAACCAUAGUUCCCUUCAUCGCUGGAGCGCAACAACCAUUUUCACCACUUAUAACCAACUAGACUGAUAUGUUUUCAGCAUGGCGAAAGCCUUGUAUGGAAACAAAACUAAUCAAAUAUCUAAGCACAACUCUUAGCAACGGAUAUCUUGGUUCUC
rnacentral:misc_RNA from 1 species